UUAGCUUCUUAGAGGGACUAUCGAUAUCAAAUCGAUGGAAGUUUGAGGCAAUAACAGGUCUGUGAUGCCCUUAGACGUUCUGGGCCGCACGCGCGCUACACUGACGGAGCCAGCGAGUACAUAACCUUGGCCGAGAGGUCUGGGUAAUCUUGUUAAACUCCGUCGUGCUGGGGAUAGAGCAUUGCAAUUAUUGCUCUUCAACGAGGAAUUCCUAGUAAGCGCAAGUCAUCAGCUUGCGUUGAUUACGUCCCUGCCCUUUGUACACACCGCCCGUCGCUACUACCGUUUGGAAUGGCUUAAAAAGUCUCCCCCGACUCUCCUCAGCCAACCAAAUCAAUCGAUAUAGAUAUCGAUAGUCCCUCUAAGAAGCUAAUAAUCAGCAAAAGCUGAUUAAGCUAUUUAGUAGGU
rnacentral:rRNA from 1 species